GAUGAACGCUGGCGGCGUGCCUAAUACAUGCAAGUCGAGCGAACAGACGAGGAGCUUGCUCCUCUGACGUUAGCGGCGGACGGGUGAGUAACACGUGGAUAACCUACCUAUAAGACUGGGAUAACUUCGGGAAACCGGAGCUAAUACCGGAUAAUAUAUUGAACCGCAUGGUUCAAUAGUGAAAGACGGUUUUGCUGUCACUUAUAGAUGGAUCCGCGCCGCAUUAGCUAGUUGGUAAGGUAACGGCUUACCAAGGCAACGAUGCGUAGCCGACCUGAGAGGGUGAUCGGCCACACUGGAACUGAGACACGGUCCAGACUCCUACGGGAGGCAGCAGUAGGGAAUCGUCCGCAAUGGGCGAAAGCCUGACGGAGCAACGCCGCGUGAGUGAUGAAGGUCCUCGGAUCGUAAAACUCUGUUAUUAGGGAAGAACAAAUGUGUAAGUAACUAUGCACGUCUUGACGGUACCUAAUCAGAAAGCCACGGCUAACUACGUG
rnacentral:rRNA from 1 species